rnacentral:lncRNA from 1 species
UGGGGUGGAAUAUAAUCAAGAUGCCUCUGGUUUUCCUCGACAAACAGAGGAUGACAACACGGUGGAGUAUAAUCAAGAUGCCUCUGGUUUUCCUCGACCAACGGAGGGUGGGAAUGCGGUGGAGUAUAAUCAAGAUGUCUCUGGUUUUCCUCGACCAACAGAGGAUGGAAAAACGGUGGAGUAUAAUCAAGAUGCCUCUGGUUUUCCUCGACCAACAGAGGAUGAAAACACGGUGGAGUAUAAUCAAGAUGCCUCUGGUUUUCCUCAGCCAACCGAGGAUGAAAACACGGUGGAGUAUAAUCAAGAUGCCUCUGGUUUUCCUCGGCCAACGGAGGAUGAAAAUGCCGCGUCUGCUACGGGAGAUAAUUCUGGCUUCCAAGAAAACAACACGGGUUCUCAUAUGGAUCUGGAUAUGAUGAAU